GAAAUAAAAACGCUUUUUAGGAGGAGCUAGAAAACCUUGCUUCUGGCUGCUUCUCUUUUUAUAAAACAGAAGCAACACCAAACAUAGUCUAAGCCUUCCAUGCUCACUACCUGUAACCAGUAGCCAGUUCUUGGUGUUUUCAAAAGAAAAACAAAAACAUGGAAAAGUGAGCUAAUUAGCCCAAUAAGUUACCAUUAACACCACUAGAGGGAUCAAGCCUAAGUAAAAUAGAUAAAUAAAUAAAUAACAGUAAGUUCAUGAAAAUAUUGGAAGUAAAUUAUGAAACAUAGAGUAAUUACAAUCUCACUUUGUAAGCAAUCAGUAAUUUUAAAAAUUCAACAAGUGAUAACUUGUAAAAGAGGUGGAACAAUUAAACUAUAAUAAAAAAAUAAUUGUUGAACAUUUUCAAUGAGUUUUCUGAAAAUUUAGCUAUACAAUUUAUUCACGCUCUGUGUCUUUAUGAUUAUGGCCACAAUUAGCCCCAUGAGAUGGCCUGAAACCACAUUUGGCCAUCUGGUAUUGGCUUGAAAUCACAUUUGGUCCUAUGAUGGAGGCAUGGAAGAAACUAGUUUUUGAGUAUAAUAAUACCAACGAUUAGCACAACCACAUUUUGCCCUGUAACAAGGCUUGAAAGAAAAUAGUCUUUGAGUACAACAAUGGGAA
rnacentral:lncRNA from 1 species